UCAGGCCUAACACAUGCAAGUCGAGGGGUAGAACACUUCGGUGUUUGAGACCGGCGCACGGGUGCGUAACGCGUAUGCAACCUACCUUUUACAGGGGAAUAGCCCAGAGAAAUUUGGAUUAAUGCCCCAUGGUAUAUUUAGAUGGCAUCAUCUGAUUAUUAAAGUUCCAACGGUAAAAGAUGGGCAUGCGUCCUAUUAGCUAGAUGGUAAGGUAACGGCUUACCAUGGCAACGAUAGGUAGGGGUCCUGAGAGGGAGAUCCCCCACACUGGUACUGAGACACGGACCAGACUCCUACGGGAGGCAGCAGUGAGGAAUAUUGGACAAUGGGCGCAAGCCUGAUCCAGCCAUGCCGCGUGCAGGAAGAAGCAUCUAUGGUGUGUAAAGCUGCUUUUGUACGGGAAGAAACACUCCUACGGUAGGAGCUGAC
rnacentral:rRNA from 1 species